ACUAAGCGUACACGGUGGAUGCCCUGGCAGUCAGAGGCGAUGAAGGACGUGCUAAUCUGCGAUAAGCGUCGGUAAGGUGAUAUGAACCGUUAUAACCGGCGAUUUCCGAAUGGGGAAACCCAGUGUGWUUCGWCACACUAUCAUUAACUGAAUCCAUAGGUUAAUGAGGCGAACCGGGGGAACUGAAACAUCUAAGUACCCCGAGGAAAAGAAAUCAACCGAGAUUCCCCCAGUAGCGGCGAGCGAACGGGGAGSAGCCCAGAGCCUGAAUCAGUGUGUGUGUUAGUGGAAGCGUCUGGAAAGGCGCGCGAUACAGGGUGACAGCCCCGUACACAAAAAUGCACAUGCUGUGAGCUCGAUGAGUAGGGCGGGACACGUGGUAUCCUGUCUGAAUAUGGGGGGACCAUCCUCCAAGGCUAAAUACUCCUGACUGACCGAUAGUGAACCAGUACCGUGAGGGAAAGGCGAAAAGAACCCCGGCGAGGGGAGUGAAAAAGAACCUGAAACCGUGUACGUACAAGCAGUGGGAGCACGCUUAGGCGUGUGACUGCGUACCUUUUGUAUAAUGGGUCAGCGACUUAUAUUCUGUAGCAAGGUUAACCGAAUAGGGGAGCCGAAGGGAAACCGAGUCUUAACUGGGCGUUAAGUUGCAGGGUAUAGACCCGAAACCCGGUGAUCUAGCCAUGGGCAGGUUGAAGGUUGGGUAACACUAACUGGAGGACCGAACCGACUAAUGUUGAAAAAUUAGCGGAUGACUUGUGGCUGGGGGUGAAAGGCCAAUCAAACCGGGAGAUAGCUGGUUCUCCCCGAAAGCUAUUUAGGUAGCGCCUCGUGAACUCAUCUCCGGGGGUAGAGCACUGUUUCGGCAAGGGGGUCAUCCCGACUUACCAACCCGAUGCAAACUGCGAAUACCGGAGAAUGUUAUCACGGGAGACACACGGCGGGUGCUAACGUCCGUCGUGAAGAGGGAAACAACCCAGACCGCCAGCUAAGGUCCCAAAGUCAUGGUUAAGUGGGAAACGAUGUGGGAAGGCCCAGACAGCCAGGAUGUUGGCUUAGAAGCAGCCAUCAUUUAAAGAAAGCGUAAUAGCUCACUGGUCGAGUCGGCCUGCGCGGAAGAUGUAACGGGGCUAAACCAUGCACCGAAGCUGCGGCAGCGACGCUUAUGCGUUGUUGGGUAGGGGAGCGUUCUGUAAGCCUGCGAAGGUGUGCUGUGAGGCAUACUGGAGGUAUCAGAAGUGCGAAUGCUGACAUAAGUAACGAUAAAGCGGGUGAAAAGCCCGCUCGCCGGAAGACCAAGGGUUCCUGUCCAACGUUAAUCGGGGCAGGGUGAGUCGACCCCUAAGGCGAGGCCGAAAGGCGUAGUCGAUGGGAAACAGGUUAAUAUUCCUGUACUUGGUGUUACUGCGAAGGGGGGACGGAGAAGGCUAUGUUGGCCGGGCGACGGUUGUCCCGGUUUAAGCGUGUAGGCUGGUUUUCCAGGCAAAUCCGGAAAAUCAAGGCUGAGGCGUGAUGACGAGGCACUACGGUGCUGAAGCAACAAAUGCCCUGCUUCCAGGAAAAGCCUCUAAGCAUCAGGUAACAUCAAAUCGUACCCCAAACCGACACAGGUGGUCAGGUAGAGAAUACCAAGGCGCUUGAGAGAACUCGGGUGAAGGAACUAGGCAAAAUGGUGCCGUAACUUCGGGAGAAGGCACGCUGAUAUGUAGGUGAAGUCCCUCGCGGAUGGAGCUGAAAUCAGUCGAAGAUACCAGCUGGCUGCAACUGUUUAUUAAAAACACAGCACUGUGCAAACACGAAAGUGGACGUAUACGGUGUGACGCCUGCCCGGUGCCGGAAGGUUAAUUGAUGGGGUUAGCCGCAAGGCGAAGCUCUUGAUCGAAGCCCCGGUAAACGGCGGCCGUAACUAUAACGGUCCUAAGGUAGCGAAAUUCCUUGUCGGGUAAGUUCCGACCUGCACGAAUGGCGUAAUGAUGGCCAGGCUGUCUCCACCCGAGACUCAGUGAAAUUGAACUCGCUGUGAAGAUGCAGUGUACCCGCGGCAAGACGGAAAGACCCCGUGAACCUUUACUAUAGCUUGACACUGAACAUUGAGCCUUGAUGUGUAGGAUAGGUGGGAGGCUUUGAAGUGUGGACGCCAGUCUGCAUGGAGCCGACCUUGAAAUACCACCCUUUAAUGUUUGAUGUUCUAACGUUGACCCGUAAUCCGGGUUGCGGACAGUGUCUGGUGGGUAGUUUGACUGGGGCGGUCUCCUCCUAAAGAGUAACGGAGGAGCACGAAGGUUGGCUAAUCCUGGUCGGACAUCAGGAGGUUAGUGCAAUGGCAUAAGCCAGCUUGACUGCGAGCGUGACGGCGCGAGCAGGUGCGAAAGCAGGUCAUAGUGAUCCGGUGGUUCUGAAUGGAAGGGCCAUCGCUCAACGGAUAAAAGGUACUCCGGGGAUAACAGGCUGAUACCGCCCAAGAGUUCAUAUCGACGGCGGUGUUUGGCACCUCGAUGUCGGCUCAUCACAUCCUGGGGCUGAAGUAGGUCCCAAGGGUAUGGCUGUUCGCCAUUUAAAGUGGUACGCGAGCUGGGUUUAGAACGUCGUGAGACAGUUCGGUCUGGCGGCCGUAGCGCGGUGGUCCCACCUGACCCCAUGCCGAACUCAGAAGUGAAACGCCGUAGCGCCGAUGGUAGUGUGGGGUCUCCCCAUGCGAGAGUAGGGAACUGCCAGGCAUCAAAUUUAGCGUGCUGAUAUGGCUCAGUUGGUAGAGCGCACCCUUGGUAAGGGUGAGGUCCCCAGUUCGACUCUGGGUAUCAGCACCACUUUUUAGGUUAAAGUUCGGCAGAUUAGAAAAGAAUUUGUCUGGCGGCAGUAGCGCGGUGGUCCCACCUG
rnacentral:rRNA from 1 species